UUCUUUUCCAGUUUUCUUUGUUUAUCGAUCAGACAGGGUAAACAAAAAUAAGUAGUUUUUUGUUCGAAAAAUUAUAAAUUUAUAAAUUAUUUGAUAAUUUAUAUCUUUUUAAAGUUUGCCUCAAUUUAUCAGUGAUAUUUCAGGAAAAAUUGUAUUUAAAUAGGUUAUACAUAAUACCACCGUCCAGACUAAUAGCAACAGCUUUGACGUGAACAACACCAACUUACCAACCUAUCGUUCUAUAGCAACGCGUAAUUGUUUGUUGUAAAUGAUUAUCGAGCAAAUCGUCCAUAAUGGAAACACCAUUUCAAUCCUCAUUUGAUGCUUGAUCAACACCUAGUUCUUCUGUUCAUUAGGCGGAUUGAACAUAUUAAAACAUUAUGUCAGCGAUGCGGUUUUCAGUCAGCUUUCAACUAGGUCGGAAGUCCGCGAAUCCCCGGUUAGGAAACGUGCGCUGAUUAGGGGGCGUCGGGGUAACUUCGCCAAUGGGGUGAAAUGGCCAACGUAAAAUGUCAGCCGAGACAGCAAAUCCCACUAAGUCUUCCAUUAAACCAAUAAUGUCUAAAAUCCGCCUGAAGACAAUCGGGAUUCCAUUCAAAUGCUGUGCACCGGGAUGUAACAUGGACCGCAGCAAGAUCUCGUACUCGCUUCACCCCUUCCCGAAUGAGACUACGGAACCCGAACGUCACGAAAUCUGGAAACGCUUGCUACUAAUUGUCCAGCCAGUCACUCGGUCGAACGUCGUAUGUGCGAGACACUUCCCGAAGCAAAGCUUCAAACAUAAUGCCGACGGAACGUCAUCGAUUUUCCUUAAACCGGACGCCUAUCCCUAUGCGACCAGUAAGCUGAAGCUACGAUUGGAGCGACAUCGUGCCGAACGAGAAAAGACCGCAGCAUCUAACAAGAAACUCUGCAAUGACAAAGAAACAAACCGCAACAACAGGUCUUCCGGCGACGACGACGACGACAACCCUCAAUCCGACAGGGAAGUUCAGAUAAUUGAGGACCUACUGUAGCUUUUUAGCAUUCAGUUUUAGUUUAUAACAUUCUCCUAUUUAUAAUGUACAAAGGCUAAGUCAAUUUA